ensembl:piRNA 21ur-8649 ncRNA
UGUUUGAAGCUAGAAAGAAAA